rnacentral:rRNA from 1 species
UACGUAGGGUGCAAGCGUUGUCCGGAAUUAUUGGGCGUAAAGAGCUCGUAGGCGGUCUGUCGCGUCUGCUGUGAAAACUCAGGGCUUAACCCUGAGCUUGCAGUGGGUACGGGCAGACUAGAGUGCGGAAGAGGCGAGUGGAAUUCCUGGUGUAGCGGUGAAAUGCGCAGAUAUCAGGAGGAACACCGAUGGCGAAGGCAGGUCUCUGGGCCAUAACUGACGCUGAGAAGCGAAAGCAUGGGGAGCGAACAGG